rnacentral:rRNA from 1 species
UAAUCGGUGGUAAAUCUCAUCGAAGGCUAAAUAGCGGCUGGAGACCGAUAGCGAACAAGUACCGUGAGGGAAAGAUGACAAGCACUUUGAAAAGAGGGUGAAAAGAGCCUGAAACCGUCACGGGGGAAGCGGAUUGCGUUGGAUUGAUGGGCGCUUGUGUGUUCAGCCUUCGGGUGCAUUGGCACAAGUGCUUAUCCGCUGUGAGUUUUCGGGGGUCGAUUUUGGACCCCUGGGGACUGAGGGCUCCCUUUUUUAGGUGAGGACAGCGGAGUGACGACGCGAUACGACCCGUCUUGAAACACGGACCAAGGAGUCUAGCGCGGGUGCGAGUCGGAGGGUGCAAGCCCGUGGGCGAAGUGAAAGCGAGUUUUAAAAACGAGCAGUUUGGGGCGGCAUAAGAUCGUUGAUCUUAAGACCGACCCGGAGCAGUUGCGCUGGGACCCGAAAGAUGGUGAACUAUGCCGGAGUAGGGCAAAGCCAGAGGAAACUCUGGUGGAGGCUCGUAGCGGUGCUGACGUGCAAAUCGCUCGUCGAACUUGGGUAUAGGGGCGAAAGACUAAUCGAACCAUCUAGUAGCUGGUUCCCUCCGAAGUUUCUCUCAGGAUAGCGGGCCGACAAGUUGUUUUGUGCGGUAAAGCGAAUGAUUAGCGCAUUCGGGGGCGUUUAGCCUUUGGGCGAUUCUCAAACUUUCAAUGCGCAAGGGUGCCGCUGCUUAAUUGAGCGGUACCGGUAAAAACGUCGGCCCUGUGGGCCACUUUUGGUAAGCA